rnacentral:rRNA from 1 species
CACGUAGGGUGCGAGCGUUGUCCGGAAUUAUUGGGCGUAAAGAGCUCGUAGGCGGUGUGUCGCGUCGGCCGUGAAAACCUGCAGCUUAACUGUGGGCUUGCGGUCGAUACGGGCAUCACUGGAGUUCGGCAGGGGAGACUGGAAUUCCUGGUGUAGCGGUGAAAUGCGCAGAUAUCAGGAGGAACACCGGUGGCGAAGGCGGCUUGCUGGGCCAGUUCUGACGCUGAGGCGCGAAAGCGUGGGGAGCGAACAGG